CCCUACGGGGGGCAGCAGUGAGGAAUAUUGGUCAAUGGGCUUACGCCUGAACCAGCCAAGUCGCGUGAGGGAAGACUGCCCUAUGGGUUGUAAACCUCUUUUGUCAGGGAGCAACGCCGGCUACGUGUAGCCGGACUGAGAGUACCUGAAGAAAAAGCAUCGGCUAACUCCGUGCCAGCAGCCGCGGUAAUACGGAGGAUGCGAGCGUUAUCCGGAUUUAUUGGGUUUAAAGGGUGCGUAGGCGGAAUGCCAAGUCAGCGGUAAAAUCGCGGGGCUCAACCUCGUCGAGCCGUUGAAACUGGGUG
rnacentral:rRNA from 1 species